rnacentral:rRNA from 1 species
AACGAACGCUGGCGGCAUGCCUAACACAUGCAAGUCGAACGAGACCUUCGUGUCUAGUGGCGCACGGGUUCGUAACGCGUGGGAACCUGCCCUUAGGUUCGGAAUAACUCCCCGAAAGGGGUGCUAAUACCGGAUAAUAUCUUCGGACCAAAGAUUUAUCGCCUUUGGAUGGUCCCGCCUUGGAUUAGCUAGUUGGUAGGGUAAAAGCCUACCAAGGCGACGAUCCAUAGAUGGGCUGAGAGGAUGAUCAGCCACACUGGGACUGGGACACGGCCCAGACUCCUACGGGAGGCAGCAGUGGGGAAUAUUGGAAAAUGGGCGAAAGCAUGAUCGAGCAAUGCCGCGUGAGUGAUGAAGGCCUUAGGGUUGUAAAGCUAUUUUACCCGGGAUGAUAAUGACAGUACCGAGAGAAUAAGCCCCGGCUAACUCCGUG